GCACUUGUAGCUCAAUUGGAUAGAGCAUCUCACUACGGAUGAGAAGGUUUGGGGUUCGAAUCCCUACAAGUGCACCA
rnacentral:tRNA from 1 species